AUCUUUGGGUUCUCGCAUCGAUGAAGAACGCAGCGAAAUGCGAUACGUAAUAUGAAUUGCAGAUAUUCGUGAAUCAUCGAAUCUUUGAACGCACAUUGCCCCCUUUGGUAUUCCAAAGGGCAUGCCUGUUUGAGCGUCAUUUCUCCCUCAAACCCCCGGGUUUGGUGUUGAGCAAUACGCUAGGUUUGUUUGAAAGAAUUAACGUGGAAACUUAUUUUAAGCGACUUAGGUUUAUCCAAAACGCUUAUUUUGCUAGGGCCACCACAAUUUAUUUCAUAACUUGACCUCAAUCAGGUAGGA
rnacentral:rRNA from 1 species